ensembl:lncRNA
UGGUCAGAGUGACUGGUAGAGGAGGUGGUCAGAGUGACUGGUAGUGGAGGUGGUAACUCAUGUGUCAGAGUGACUGGUAGUGGAGGUGGUCAGAGUGACUGGUAGUGGAGGUGGUAACUCAUGUGUCAGAGUGACUGAUAGUGGAGGUGGUAACUCAUGUGUCAGAGUGACUGGUAGUGGAGGUGGUAACUCAUGUGUCAGAGUGACUUGUAGUGGAGGUGGUCAGAGUGACUGGUAGAGGAGGUGGUUAGAGUGACUGGUGGUGGGGUGGUAACUCAUGUGUCAGAGUGACUGGUAGUGGAGGUGGUAACUCAUGUGUCAGAGUGACUGGUGGUGGAGGUGGUCAGAGUGACUGGUGGUGGAGGUGGUCAGAGUGACUGGUAGUCGAGGUGGUCUGAGUGACUGGUAGUGGAGGUGGUCUGAGUGACUAGUAGUGGAGGUGGUCUGAGUGACUGGUAGUGGAGGUGGUCUGAGUGACUGGUAGUGGAGGUGGUCUGAGUGACUGGUAGUGGAGGUGGUCUGAGUGACUGGUAGUGGAGGUGGUCUGAGUGACUGGUAGUGGAGGUGGUAUCUCAUGGUGGUCUCUUUCCCAUCAUUAG